rnacentral:rRNA from 1 species
UACAGGGGGUGCAAACGUUGCUCGGAAUUAUUGGGCGUAAAGCGCGCGUAGGCGGCCACUUAAGUCGGAUGUGAAAGCCCCUGGCUCAACUGGGGAAGUGCACCCGAAACUGAGCGGCUUGAAUGCAAAAGAGGGUCGCGGAAUUCCCGGUGUAGAGGUGAAAUUCGUAGAUAUCGGGAGGAACACCAGUGGCGAAGGCGGCGAUCUGGGUGGAUACUGACGCUGAGGUGCGAAAGCGUGGGGAGCAAACAGG